GACAGAGGAUGCAAGCGUUAUCCGGAAUGAUUGGGCGUAAAGCGUCUGUAGGUGGCUUUUUAAGUCUGCCGUCAAAUCCCAGGGCUUAACCCUGGACAGGCGGUGGAAACUACCAAGCUAGAGUACGGUAGGGGCAGAGGGAAUUUCCGGUGGAGCGGUGAAAUGCUUAGAGAUCGGAAAGAACACCAACGGCGAAAGCACUCUGCUGGGCCGACACUGACACUGAGAGACGAAAGCUAGGGGAGCGAAUGGG
rnacentral:rRNA from 1 species